rnacentral:misc_RNA from 1 species
GCUUGCUUCAUAGUGGUCCAGUGGAGUUCCUUUAUUAUUGGCUUCAUAGAGCUCUGCAUCAUCAUUUUCUCUACUCUCGUUAUCAUUCUCAUCAUCACUCCUCUAUUGCUACUGAGCCUAUCACUUCUGUGAUUCAUCCAUUUGCUGAGCAUUUAUCCUAUUUUACACUCUUUUCCAUACCCUUGUUCACAACUGUUUUCACUAGGACUGCUU